rnacentral:rRNA from 1 species
GGUUUAUCCAACUCGUUGAAUAGUUUAAUGGUAUAUUUCCUGGUAUUCUAGGCUCGGCCUUACAAUACAACAAACAAGUUUGACCUCAAAUCAGGUAGGACUACCCGCUGAACUUAAGCAUAUCAAUAAGCGGAGGAAAAGAAACCAACAGGGAUUGCCUUAGUAACGGCGAGUGAAGCGGCAAAAGCUCAAAUUUGAAAUCUGGCACCUUCGGUGUCCGAGUUGUAAUUUGAAGAAGGUAACUUUGGAGUUGGCUCUUGUCUAUGUUCCUUGGAACAGGACGUCACAGAGGGUGAGAAUCCCGUGCGAUGAGAUGCCCAAUUCUAUGUAAAGUGCUUUCGAAGAGUCGAGUUGUUUGGGAAUGCAGCUCUAAGUGGGUGGUAAAUUCCAUCUAAAGCUAAAUAUUGGCGAGAGACCGAUAGCGAACAAGUACAGUGAUGGAAAGAUGAAAAGAACUUUGAAAAGAGAGUGAAAAAGUACGUGAAAUUGUUGAAAGGGAAGGGCUUGAGAUCAGACUUGGUAUUUUGCGAUCCUUUCCUUUUUGGUUGGGUUCUCCGCAGCUUACUGGGCCAGCAUCGGUUUGGACGGUAGGAUAAUGAUUAAGGAAUGUGGCUCUGCUUCGGUGGAGUGUUAUAGCCUUGGUUGAUGCUGCCUGUCUAGACCGAGGA